rnacentral:rRNA from 1 species
CAGUCGCCACGGUAAUACGAAGGGUGCAAGCGUUAAUCGGAAUUACUGGGCGUAAAGCGUGCGUAGGCGGUGAGUUAAGUCUGCUGUGAAAUCCCCGGGCUCAACCUGGGAAUGGCAAUGGAUACUGGCAAGCUAGAGUGUGUCAGAGGAUGGUGGAAUUCCCGGUGUAGCGGUGAAAUGCGUAGAGAUCGGGAGGAACAUCAGUGGCGAAGGCGGCCAUCUGGGACAACACUGACGCUGAGGCACGAAAGCGUGGGGAGCAAACAGGAUUAGAUACCCCAGUAGUCCCUGUCUCUUAUAC